CCGGCUAGGUUUAGAAUGUUAAUAUGAAUUUUAAAUUCUGUCCCUGAAAGCCCAGGCUCUUUCCAUUUUUAUACCUGAGUGGCUUCAAGUGCCCCUGAACUGAGUAUCCCUUCCAGGAAUAUCAACACCCAACAAAUAAUAUAAAUUCCACGCUGCCCCAAGAUUCCCGCAGAGGCUUAGACGCAGGCGCAGCUCAGUUUCCACGAAGCAACACCGAAAAGCAUUCUGGGGGGAGUCCGAGUGAAGCAAAAUUAGUUGAAGACAAGAAGCGUUUGAAGAGGGUCAAGAACAGGACAUCCUCCUUAAUUAAGCUUGAGUUGCAUUAUUAGAAGCAGGACUCCUGUUCAGUCUCCAGCACUCAUGUCCGGCUGCUCUCACCAGGCUGUAAUGCUACCUUCAAAGGCUGAUGCUCCCUUCCGGCCUCCUCAGGCACACAGCAUCAAGAAUUUCUCUCUCUGGCCCUUCUGCCCUCUGGCUUCCAGACCUCACAGACUUGUUGUGAAGACUUGAUGUAACUGUAAGACGACACAUGAACGUUCAGAGAAACACGCUUGACAUACAGUACCUGUGUUGUUCGUUUUUCUGUUGCUGUGAUAAAACCCCACGACCAAAGCA